GGGAGAUGGGGAUGCACGUAUUGAAAUUCUGCCACAUGGUAGAUGGGGCUGUCUUUGAAGAUGAACAUAUUUGAGGUCAAUCUCACUGCCCUUCCCCCAAUCUCACCCUCCAGUGUUUUGAUCCAAGUGCCCACAGUUCUGAUGAAUGUCAAAGGCAAGCUUGAGGAGGGAAGAGGAAAUGAUUAGUCCUUUACACUCCAGGUCAAUUCACUAAGGAUGAAUUCUCCAAAUGAUCAGCCGGAUUUUCA
rnacentral:lncRNA from 1 species